GGUUAAAAGGUAAACACUCACAAACCUAAUCGAUCAAUGAUAUAGCCAGAUUCGUGGAUGAUCACCAAACUUCUCAAUGGUUUUCCAGAUUUUGUUCAAACAUCGCGUUAUAUAAGAUAUCGACUGGUUACCCAAAGAUGCCGAACGACGAUGCAAGGUACUUCAAGGGAAGGGUGAUGACGUGGAUUCGUUAGCGAGCCACCAGAGUUGAGAAAACUGGUGAAAGAUCUGCAACAACCAGACAAAAAUAAAGAAAUCAUUACCUAUAUCACUUAAUUGGGUUAUGUUAUAAUACAACGUCAGAAUAGGUUCACGUUCACUAAAAGUGUAGUUUUAGUGCAUACUGUUCAU
rnacentral:lncRNA from 1 species